CCUACGGGUGGCAGCAGUAGGGAAUCUUUCACAAUGGGCGAAAGCCUGAUGGAGCAAUGCCGCGUGCAGGAUGAAGGCCCUCGGGUUGUUAACUGCUUUUUUUAGCGGGACAAAUGAUGGUACCUUUUGCAUAAGGAUCGGCUAAAUACGUGCCAGCAGCCGCGGGCAUACGUAGGAUGCGACCAGUAUACGGAGUGACUGGGUGUAAAGAGGUGCUUAUGUGUGAUAGUAAGGAGCUAGGGAAAGCGUGGGGAUCAAACAUUCGGACUAUUAGCGAAACUGCGAAGCUCGAGACUGGUAGGGGUAAGUGGAAUGUAUAGUGUAGGAGUGAAAUCCGUAGAUAUUAGAAAGAACACCGAUAGCGUAGGCAGGUUACUGGGACGGUUCUGACGCUGAGGCACGAAAGCGUGGGGAGCAAACAGGAUUAGAUACCCUAGUAGUC
rnacentral:rRNA from 1 species